rnacentral:rRNA from 1 species
AGAGUUUGAUCCUGGCUCAGGAUGAACGCUGGCGGCGUGCCUAACACAUGCAAGUCGAACGAAGCUUGACGGAUGAUUUCUUCGGAAUGAAACCAGAUAUGACUUAGUGGCGGACGGGUGAGUAACACGUGAGCAACCUGCCUUUCAGAGGGGGAUAACGGCUGGAAACGGUCGCUAAUACCGCAUGAUGUGUUCGGAUGGCAUCAUCUGAACAUCAAAGAUUUAUCGCUGAAAGAUGGGCUCGCGUCUGAUUAGAUAGUUGGUGGGGUAACGGCCUACCAAGUCUACGAUCAGUAGCCGGACUGAGAGGUUGAACGGCCACAUUGGGACUGAGAUACGGCCCAGACUCCUACGGGAGGCAGCAGUGGGGAAUAUUGCACAAUGGGGGAAACCCUGAUGCAGCAACGCCGCGUGAAGGAUGACGGUUUUCGGAUUGUAAACUUCUUUUCUUAGUGACGAAGACAGUGACGGUAGCUAAGGAAUAAGCAUCGGCUAACUACGUGCCAGCAGCCGCGGUAAUACGUAGGAUGCAAGCGUUAUCCGGAUUUACUGGGUGUAAAGGGAGCGCAGGCGGGACUGCAAGUUGGAUGUGAAAUACCGUGGCUUAACCACGGAACUGCAUCCAAAACUGUAGUUCUUGAGUGAAGUAGAGGCAAGCGGAAUUCCGAGUGUAGCGGUGAAAUGCGUAGAUAUUCGGAGGAACACCAGUGGCGAAGGCGGCUUGCUGGGCUUUAACUGACGCUGAGGCUCGAAAGUGUGGGGAGCAAACAGGAUUAGAUACCCUGGUAGUCCACACUGUAAACGAUGAUAGCUAGGUGUGGGGGGUCUGACCCCUUCCGUGCCGGAGUUAACGCAAUAAGCUAUCCACCUGGGGAGUACGACCGCAAGGUUGAAACUCAAAGGAAUUGACGGGGGCCCGCACAAGCAGUGGAUUAUGUGGUUUAAUUCGAAGCAACGCGAAGAACCUUACCAGGUCUUGACAUCCGACUAACGAGAUAGAGAUAUGUCAGGUGCCCUUCGGGGAAAGUCGAGACAGGUGGUGCAUGGUUGUCGUCAGCUCGUGUCGUGAGAUGUUGGGUUAAGUCCCGCAACGAGCGCAACCCCUGCCAUUAGUUGCUACGCAAGAGCACUCUAAUGGGACCGCUACCGACAAGGUGGAGGAAGGUGGGGACGACGUCAAAUCAUCAUGCCCCUUAUGACCUGGGCUACAC